GGAUGUGAGGGUGAUCUGGCUGUGACAUCUGUAACCCCAUUGAUUGCCAGUGUUGAUUUGGCUGAUCUGGCUGACUAGGCAGGUGACUCCUUCCUCUCUCACCAUGCCAUGUACAUCCUUCCCAAAGGUGGUGGUCACUCGGUUGAAGAUGACCUUCCCUGAAUAGAGGAGGACCAGUCUUCUGUCAAGGGUAUAGAAGUAGCUGUGAUCCUCUGUUAAAUCCUCUAAACAAGCCGGGUGGUGGUGGCGCACGCCUUUAAUCCCAGCACUCGGGAAGCAGAGGCAGGCGGAUCUCUGUGAGUUCGAGACCAGCCU
ensembl:misc_RNA 7SK 7SK RNA